UUUUUAUAGCUUCUCUGGGUGCUGGGAGUACUGAAUUAAGUUUGGACCAUCAACUCACAACAAAUUGAACUCAGAGUUUCAACCUAGUUGAACUCAAGGUCUUUGCUUUUGAAGAUCCGGUUGGUUCUGAGAGAACUGGAUCAGCUCUCAAGUCUGAGACCGUGGGUCUAUCUGUGUCGAUACUUUCCUUGGUCCAGGAGUUCAAGUUAUUGAGGGUUUUGUUCAUGAGUUGCAUGCGAUAGCUCGAAGGAGGAACGAAGUGAAGCCGUGUCCCGCCAAAUGCUUUCACCGCUGCCCUCGCCACCUCAAAUAAUCUUAGGAGAAUGUAUUUUUGUGAUGUUUGGCACUAACACUGAUGUGUCUCUGACGGCGGGUGACUCGAUGUGUCAUGCUCCUCUUACUGUUGUUGGGGUUGUCGCCGAUGAUGUGGUGUCUCCCGCUCCAGUACCACAGCAGCAGCGUGGCGUCCCUGGACCCUGACACGAUGUAGCAGUCGCCUCCGAUGUACGACUCUGACCUGGCCAGACACGUGACCACGUCCCAGUGGCCGAAAACGAUCUGGGUCAGUUUCCCUGCAGAGGAAAAGAGAUCUGAGGCCAGACUGGGCACAGAAACUUGUAGGUUUGAGAUAUGUUCGUAUGGAGGGAAUGAGGAUGAGGAAGUGGAGCUCAUGAGCGAGGAGUUGCAAGUGAAGUGGCGUUUUUACAGUCACUCAUGGCGGCAGAUGUGGUUCCCCUCUUUCUCCCAGGCGCUCACACCAACCUGUCUCAGACGAGUACACACGGAAGCUCUUGUCCCAGAACCCACAGACCAGGAUGUAGCGGUUGUCGGCCGUCACCACGAAACAGUGCGACGUGAUCUGGAUGCUCUGAUCCACCAGAUCUGUGAUCUGACGCCUGCUGCUGCUGCUGCCGUUACUGGCUGGAACCAGAGACGUGAGAAGUGAAAGCGUUUCCCUGCCACCUCUUCACACUGAUGGACCCUCCUCAUCCCUCAUCCAUGGUUUAGUUCCUUACCUCCUUUCUCCUCUCACAUAUCUUAUACCUCUCCCACACUUCCUCCUUCACUUUCCUACCCAGUCAAAUUCUCCUGCACCUCCUACUGCUUGGACAUCCUCACACCGACUGAACAUCUUCUCUCACUCUCCCACAUUGCCUCACAAGUUAUCUUCUCUAUCCUCAAGCAGUUAUCCUUCUGACCACCUUCACUCCAUUAUCUUCUGUUUUUAACAUAUCAUUCAUCACAUUCAUCCUGUAUAACUUUAACAUCUUCACCUCUUUUACAUCGCCUCCUUCAUCUUCUCACUCUUCCUUCAAAGCCACAACUGCCUACUCACUCCUUUUCUUUUCCCUUCAUCCACACCUCCUUUCAAUUCUCAUCAUCAUCUGUAUUGCCUUUGCCUUCUUUCCAAUUCAUCUCCUCACUUCUCCAUCACUUCCUCAUAUCCUUACUCUGUCUUCACUUCUUUCACUCAUCCACCCUCCCAGCUCGACCCCCCCAGACUGAAGAACUCACCUAUCAGCGAGUCCAUCUCUAUGGGCAGGUGAUGAGCUUGUUCCAGAGAGUAGCCUGGAGCUCCUCUGAGUCCUGCAGACAGACAGACAGACUUGUCCAACAUCAACCUCCAUCACCAGUGCAUGCCAUUAUUGCUGAGUCUAUGGUGGCCUGUAGGUGCCCCCUUUACAUGCACCCCACACUCAGCAUUUAGUUACUGGCGGUUCCUCUUUAUUUCAAUGACUCUUGAGGCAAGACACAGAACUAAAUAACAGUUUGUCAGCUGCUCACCAAACAGAUUUUAGUGCUGCAUUUUGGAAGAGGAGUGAAAAUUUGUUCCAUUUUCGGCCACAGGCGAUGUCACACUCUAUUUUUAGACACAAUUUUUGAGUCUAUUUUCCUCUGUGUCACAGUGAAUGACAUCCAAUCUGAUUACCUGCAGCCACUUUUAGAAAAGGCAAACACCUGAAAAUACCGGGGCCCCAUUAUGGCCAUUACUGUGAGGAGCCAGAGCACAUUUCCAUCCCGUGUGUCAGGACGGUGUCAGUGAUGCAGCUGUUCAUUAGAGUCCUGCUCGUACGCUCCUCAGCCCAGUUCCUCCUCUGACAGAUGGAGAUGUGCGAGGAGAAUUUGGGCCCUAAUUUUGAAGUAACCAUGGACUGGGCCCUCUGACCCCGAGGUGGAGCCGGUUCUGUGGCUAAUGUUGUUCACACAUGUCUGGGGGGGGGGGACAUGUGGAAUCGCUCUGGGCCACUUACCUGGGAGGCGCUGGUGUGUCCAGCUGGCAGCAGCUCUAUUAGAGGAGGUUAGGGUGGAGAUGAAGUGAUUCCACAGAACCGCAGCUGUGUUUCUGUCGUACGUGAGACUUUCUGAAGGAACCAUCAAUGUGUGCGAUCGGAUCGGUUCGCUAAAUCACUGAGGUCAUUGGACACUUGCAGGGAAAGUAUUUCACGUCAGGAUUAUUGACUCGCUGGUGACUUUGUGAUUGAAAUAUCUUGGCUCUCUCCGUUGCUAGUGAUGCUAACCUUCAUGUGUGGCGGUGCAGCAUGUGACACCUGUCUUUGUUCCUUAUCUCAAAAAGUUGUAGUUAAAAGGGACAGAUGUGAUAGAGUGCAUCAUCACUGCCGUGAAUUGUAUUAUUUUUUUGUCUUCUAAAGAUGUGUUACUCACCGACAUUGUUGUGCCAGCGGUUGACGGCGAACAAGCGGCUGCAGGUGACCGUCACCACCGCGGGCACGGUGAGGUGCGGCAGCGUGUUGGCGGCCACGUGGGUGACCGGGGAGUUGGACGGAAACUUGAGCACCAUGAUGACGUCCUGCUGCAGCUGGUCCUUGAACAUGAGUGGACUCUGGAAACCUCAGCGUCCACAGAUGCAUCACUUGAAGAGGAAAAAGGAGGAGGAUUUCUGUUCAUCUUCUCAAGACGGCAGAUGGUGGAUAUCACAGCAAGAGAGAGAGAGACGGGCAGAAAGCAGAGCAGCUGCUGCUCCUCUCUUUUCCCCUCCAAAGAUAUUCUAUUAAUUUGUUAAGAACAAGAGGAUUCACUCCCCCUCUAUUGACUGACUGACCCCUGCGGACCCAUCAAAGCUCCCGCUCAUUGAUCUGAGGACGCCAAGGAGGAGGGGACAAUUUGGGAUGGAGAAUAAUCACAGAGGUCAGUACAGGUGCAGCGCAGAAUUGUGAGUGGCUGAGUCCCGGGCGCCACAGAGACAGGAAGUGGCCUCACUUGAGAUGACCCCAGGAGGUCACGCACAGAUCAUGUAUACUGCAUCAGGUGUACCAUGUCUUAAUUUUGCUCUCAACGUUUGAAACAUUUCUAUAAAUGUGGAAAAACAUCUGGAUAGUGAAGUAUUUACCUUGAGAAUUCUUUCAACACUCAUUUGUUAAAAUACAUUUUUAAAAUAUAUAUUUAGUACAGUACACCCACUUUUGUUCUACUGAACAAAAUUUGUUAUAUUAAUAUGUUGAAUUAAAUAUAUAUAUAUUUACAUUUACAUUUUAUGUAUCAUUUUGUGUGAAACUUUCUAAUAUUAUUCUAAUACUAACACAUUUUAUUAAUAAUACAUAAUAAUUUUAUGCCAUUUUAAAACUGACUUAAAAAAAUAAGCAUUUUAAGGACUUAUUUUUUCCAAUUAAUAUAUUAAAAAAGUCAUCCGUUUAUUGAUAGUUGAUGUAAAUGUAAAUGUAAAGUGUUUUUGACCACUUAUCCAAUUGUGUUUUUGUCAUCCGAUUUGAGUCGUAUAUUAUGAAUAGAUUAGUAUAAAUUCAAAAUAAUUCAAGUGCUAAAUAUUGUGAUAAUAUUCUACUAUUCUACUCAUAAAUCUCUGAUUACUUCUGUGUUAUUAACACUUUUUCACCUUUCAGUUCAGUUUGUAGGAAGAAAGUCGUGGGAUUGAAUGACCUCAGCUUCACGUGUUCAUUCCAUUUUUAUUAUAUUUAAUGUUAGCUUCUCCCUUCAACAGGUCUAUUGAGGCCACUAUAUUCAUUUCCCCUCAGAAAUGGAGCUGGUGUUGUCAUGGCGACGUGGCCUUACCUCUCUGAGGGAAGGGUCAGUGAUGGCGUCCAGGUUGACGGAGCCCUCGUAAGUCAGGUGGUGAAAGACGUUGAGGGCACGCACUGCCUCGGGGCCUCGCUGCUUGUAGCCGAAAAUAAGGUCAAUCCACUGAUGCAGCUGACAUGACACAAACUCGCUUUCCAGAGCCUGUCAGAGGAGAGACGGGCAAUUAGAGGUGAGCGCGCCGCCGCACGCGCGUGGACACACAACACAAACCGAACUUCCACACACCACUGAGCAGAACAACAACCUGCUUACUGUACACAUGACAGACAACAACCAGGGCCACGCGAGGGAAUCGGCGAUGCAUUCUGGAGCCGCGCAACAUCCCCGGAAUCAACCGCAGCUAACCAUGCUAACAACAGUGGAACAGGACACGCUCGAUUCCCACAUAGUGUGAAAACAGAGCAAGACUAGCACAGGGGAAGUAGUUUAGUAAGUUGGAGUUGAAUUCAGUUUCCUCCGUAUAUACUGUAUGUGGCUAACUCUGGUCUGUGAAAAUCCGCAGAUGCGGGUUUGGGCUGAAGACGUGAGGGCACCAUACUGCUGUGCAGAUAGACUUGCCACUGUCGCUUCAGGCUGCUGUUUUACGGAG